AAAAUAGAAACUAAUAUUCAGACUAAUAAUACGAAAAGUUUGAUGAAUAAUAAAGAAUUUCUUUAAACUUUUUGCAGUUUCAAUUCGGAAACUAAUGUUGAUAGUCUAUCAACCUUUUAAAUAAAGGUCUUUAUGAUCAGGUAUAACAAAAAGCGGGAGUAUCUCAUCUGCUAAAUAGAUGGUACAUGUGUACUACAAUUUGUACAACAAUUACCGUCACCGGGAACUUAAUGCAGUCUCCUAAAUGGAAGCGCUACAUCAUCCGACACUAGUGCAGUCUGUGCAGAAAAGAAAGUUUUAAAAAGUUGUAUAUUUUUACUACGGUUUUCAUGUACACCCUUUCACGAUAUUUGUAUGUAGCAUGUGUCAGUUAGAAGAUAGCUAGCAGUGCAAAAAAUAUUCAAACUGUCUCAGCCCGUAAUGUUAUUUUUAUUCUGCAAUGCUGCCAUGCACCUUCAUAGCCCAUAUAAAAAUUUAAAAAAAAGUUCAAGCAUUUUAUUUAUAUAUUUACACCUGCCUCUAAAUCGAUUAAUUAAUUAUCAAUCAACAGUUAUUCAAAUACAUAAAUUAUCAAUAUUGUCGACCAGAAUGCAAAACUAAAGGAACAGCUUAUGUUUCUAUGCAAGUGAAGGUUAGUGUUUAAGUACAUGUAACUAGUACUUCUUGGAGAUAUGGCUGUGGGGUCAGUCCGUUUAAGUCCGUGAAGUUCGUGCUCUUAGUUUAACUUUAGUUUUGAUCAAUCAAGAAAUAAUCCAUGCAAAGUCCACACAAGUACAAAGAACAAUAUACGAAGUAAAACUUAUAAACAUUGUAUUAUAGGUUCUUAAAUUAUAUAUGACAGCUAAACAACACAUUUGUCAGAAACUUUUAAUAAAAACAUAUUUAUGAACAUUAAAAGGUUGAUGGAUUAUGAUUUUCUUUAUUUAGUUUGUAUUUGGCGCCUUUUGUGUAUGACUUAAUUAGUAUUAUUUACAUUGUCUGCGCAUGCACUAGAAGAUAGCGUCUUUCGCCAUUGUUUUUAUUCUGUAAAGGAGAUUGGAGCAAGCCUUGGUGUAAAAAGAAUAAUCUUACCGUGACCAGGCUACGCUCAGGUUACAGUAAGAAUUCGUCCCAUAUAAUUGCAAUGUAGCAGCUGCGAAGCGGAUCUGCUUCGCGUCGAUUUUAAGUCUGUUAAAAAUAAUCUGCAGGGAAAAAACACAUUUUUAUACAUUACAAACCUUUUUGAAUAUGCAUAUGUUGUUUAGUCCACAAAAUAUCCAUUUAAUGAGUCGUACCAAGGCAUUUUGUUAAAUUACACGUUUGAAUUUGCCUGCCAUUAUGUCGGAAAUCGCACUCGGGAUAUCUUGUAUUUUAUCAUUAACAUGGCAACCAUAAACAGCGAAUUUUCAAACGUGAUGUUAAAAGUGACAGUGAUUUCGUUGCAAAAACAGAAAAUGUGGUAACAUAGGAUUAUAAAAGAGCAACAUUGUAGGUAUUUGAGACCAUUCAUAUGAAAAUUUAGGCAAGAUACAGCGCGAUGUAAUCUAUUUAUUUGCUACGAUGCGAGUAUAUGGGUCGAAUUCUAUCGUUAAACCGGGUCCGUAGGACAUCUGUCAUUUUAACGAUAGAACCUUCUAUCUAGCCUAAGUGUGGUUUUUUUGGUGUUUUUGUGAGCUUUAAUUGAUACCAUAUAUCAAGAUUGUUGUAGCAGAGGGAACAUGUGACCAGAGGAUACAACCUGAUUAAAGACUCAGCUACCUGUAUAGUAGUAUUCCGGUAUAGUAGAUUGGACUACACGUUCUACCCCGAUACUUUUUAAUUUUGUUGGACAUUUUGCAAGAGUUAAAGGAUGACUUCCGCACCUAAACGCCGUCGCACCAGGAAGUCCCACCAGCAACCAAACAGCACGACGCAGCCCAAUCAAACUGAGAACAUCAGUGCGACAGUGCAUCCCUAACUCAAGAAAAAAUGAAACUUCGCAGGAGGCAGCUAUAUUAGCUCCAGGAAUAUCCACCUUGAUGAAAAUCACCUCACCAGAUUCAGCACAAUGACCAGUACCCCAAAAUGGACAGGAAACCCACGGUGGUCCCACCAGAACUCCUUCAUCUUUAAUGACCACAGCUAAUUUUCUGAUUAGCAAAUCGCUUUCUGAAGAGUCAAGGUCAUCAUACAAGAACAUUUUUCUAACUUACAAACAAUUCCUGCAGGAUCACAUUGACAAAGCAGCUAAUCCUUUGGUGCCAAAAUUGUCACAUCUAGUUUCAUAUAUUGCCCAUUUCCCUCCCCAAGGUUUAGCCGCAUCACAACAGCUCGACCACACAUAUCUGCUUUGUGUUUAAUUUUCCAACUUGGGGGCCAUCAAGAUCUCACUCAACAUUUCAUUAUUAAAAAGCACCUACAGUGUUAUUCUAAAAUAAAACCUUCGCAGGAUGCAAGACUGCCUAUUAUCCCCACUAUCUUGUCAAAAAUUAUAUUAUCCCUUCCCCAUGUAAUUAAUUCAGCUUUUAUUAAGGGCUUACUUCAUGCUAUGUAUGUGCUUGCCUUUAGUGCAUUCUUAAGAGUAGGCGAAAUUGCUAAAACGGGGAAGCUAAACCAGCAUUUUUUGCUAGUAAAUUACAUAAAUAUUACAGCUAGUCCAAAUCAGGAAAAUUCAAUAGAUCUGACAAUAUCCCAUUGCAAACAUUCUAUUAGGCCAAUAUUCCUUCAAAUUAGUCGGAACUUGGAAAAUCCUUUACUCUGUCCGCUUAGAGCCUUACAAUAUUUUAUGCAGAUAAGAAAGCAUGCUUCACAAAAUGGAGCCCUGUUUUCUUUCAUGGAUGGAAACCCAGUUUCCCGCCGAUGUUUUACAAAAAAUCUACAAAAUUCCCUUGCUUUUUGCGGAUUAGACACAGAGCGGUACCAAUCUCACAGUUUUCGUAUAGGAGCAGCCACCGCUGCAGCAGAUCUCGGGGCUUCUGAUAUUCAGAUUCAAAACAUGGGCAGAUGGAAAUCAACAGCUUUUAAAAAAUACAGAAGGGUCCCAGUUUUAACUCUGUAACUCUACAUAUUCUGCAGCAAACCGUUUUUAUUGGCUUUUGAGUGUCAAUGACUAAACUAGACCAUUGAGUCAGGGGUUUCUGGUCAAGUCUGUCAAUUUUUAUACUUUUGAAGUUUUGUGUGGACAUAUUUAGCACCUUGUUCAAUACUAAAUUGGUUUCAUAUUUUGUUUAGUGUCAUAUAUUACAUAUAAGUUGCUAAAUAGCUGUACAUUGAAGAGAGGGGCUUCUUGUUUUCUCCUAACAACUAUUAACUUCUUUGCAUUUUGAUCAAUCACUGGACUCUGAAGUCAGGGGCUUCCUGUUCAGUUUUUCUUUGUGUUCUUUCAAAUAAAACUGUUUUAAUUUGUACCUUAUAAUACCAUGAUCACCAUGAUCGAUACUGCUAGGGUGAUGGAUGGGGCUUAUCAACACCUGUCACGGGUGUUGAUAUGUGGCGGCAAUGGCCCCAUCUUUGACGCUGUUUAACAUUUUACAUUUGUAUCUUUUUCAUCAUGUACUUUUUGACUUGAUUCUGGUAUUAAUUAUGGUACUGUUGUUUAAACCUUUGGACUGUUUAGGUUCUAAACAGUAUUAUUGUAUAUACAUUUUUUUGUAUGAUGAGGUAGUAUUUUUUUUAUAACUACAUUUCUCUUUGUGUAUGUAUUGUGCAUACAUGUAUUUUGUUUCAGGAGUGUAGCAUUGAUAGUUGGCUACAUUCCUCUGUUUAAAUAUUCUUUGUUAUUUAUUUCCUCAAUAAAUGACCAUUCUAAUUUCUAAAAAAUGUAUUGUGUUAAUGUGUCAACAAGUAACAUGUCAAACGGAGCAUCACCCUAUCAGU